rnacentral:rRNA from 1 species
CCUACGGGAGGCAGCAGUGGGGAAUAUUGCACAAUGGGGGGAACCCUGAUGCAGCGACGCCGCGUGAGUGAAGAAGUAUUUCGGUAUGUAAAGCUCUAUCAGCAGGGAAGAAAAUGACGGUACCUGACUAAGAAGCCCCGGCUAACUACGUGCCAGCAGCCGCGGUAAUACGUAGGGGGCAAGCGUUAUCCGGAUUUACUGGGUGUAAAGGGAGCGUAGACGGUUAUGGAAGUCUGAAGUGAAAGCCCAAGGCUCAACCAUGGGACUGCUUUGGAAACUGAGAGACUGGAGUGCAGGAGAGGGAACCGGAAUUCCGGGUGUAGCGGUGAAAUGCGUAGAUAUUGGGAGGAACACCAGUGGCGAAGGCGGGUUACUGGACAGUAACGGACGUGGAGGCACGAAGGCUAGGGGAGAAAAAGGGAUUAGAUACCCCAGUAGUC